UAAAAAGCUCGUAGUUGGACUUGUGUCCCACGCCGUCGGUUCGUCGCCCGUCGACGUAACCGCACGGUUAUGUGAGUGGGACGUCCAGCCGGUGGGUCGUCAGGUCGUUCGCUAUGCUGGCCGCGCCCCUUGACGGUGUCCAUACCUCGGCCGCGUCGUGGCGUGUGUCGGGGGCGUCGCGUUCGCGCGGCUCCCCUAGCCCGUCAAUUAAAACGGCGCGUGUCGUGGGGCCCGUCUCUCAGGGUGUCGCUGCGUCGGCGCGUACGGUGCCGGACCCAUGUUACUCGUCUCGGUGCUCUUAAUCGAGUGUCUUGACGGGCCGGCUCGUUUACUUUGAACAAAUUAGAGUGCUUAAAGCAGGCCAAUUGCUGCCUGAAUAUUGUGUGCAUGGAAUAAUGGAAUAGGAUCUCGGUUCUAUUUUGUUGGUUUUCUGAACCAGAGAUAAUGAUUAAUAGAGACUGACGGGGGCAUUCGUAUUGCGACGUUAGAGGUGAAAUUCUUGGAUCGUCGCAAGACGAACAUAAGCGAAAGCAUUUGCCAAGAAAGCUUUCAUUAAUCAAGAACGAAAGUUAGAGGUUCGAAGGCGAUCAGAUACCGCCCUAGUUCUAACCAUAAACGAUGCCAACUAGCGAUCCGCCGGUGUUCCUCCGAUGACCCGGCGGGCAGCUUCCGGGAAACCAAAGUGUUUGGGUUCCGGGG
rnacentral:rRNA from 1 species